ACUCCUACGGGAGGCAGCAGUGGGGAAUAUUGCACAAUGGGCGCAAGCCUGAUGCAGCCAUGCCGCGUGUGUGAAGAAGGCCUCGGUUGUAAAGCACUUCAGUCGUGAGGAAGGUAGUGUAGUUAAUAGCUGCAUUAUUUGUACGUUAGCGACAGAAGAAGCACCGGCUAACUCCGUGCCAGCAGCCGCGGUAAUACGGAGGGGUGCGAGCGUUAAUCGGAAUUACUGGGCGUAAAGCGCAUGCAGGUGGUUUGUUAAGUCAGAUGUGAAAGCCCGGGGCUCAACCUCGGAAUAGCAUUUGAAACUGGCAGACUAGAGUACUGUAGAGGGGGUAGAAUUUCAGGUGUAGCGGUGAAAUGCGUAGAGAUCUGAAGGAAUACCGGUGGCGAAGGCGGCCCCCUGGACAGAUACUGACACUCAGAUGCGAAAGCGUGGGGAGCAAACAGGAUUAGAUACCCUGGUAGGAUAGCG
rnacentral:rRNA from 1 species